UGGCCGGCGGCCGUCGCCUGGUGUGCGCGUCUGGAUCCGCUGGUGGCCCGGCUUUUCGACCCCUUCUCCAAGGGCCUCGCCCUCAGUCUCUGGUCCCAGCCCACCCCAUGGCCCCUCCCAGUCCCAGCACCACCAGCAGUAAUAACAACAGUAGCAGCAGUAGCAACUCAGGAUGGGAUCAGCUCAGCAAAACGAACCUCUAUAUCCGAGGACUGCCUCCCCACACCACCGACCAGGACCUGGUGAAGCUCUGUCAACCGUAAGUAGUAGUUGUUCCUAUUAUUUUAGCUGCUAAGUAUUUUCUUGAUCAUAUUAUAGAGUGAUAUAUACUGCAUUAUAAGAGAAGUUUAUAAGAAGUAUCUGUGGACUCUCAGUGUCACAACAAUAAAAUGGGUUUCAAGUUUUAACUUCUUAAAUACUUUUUGAGUCAAUAUUAACAUCAUCAGACUGGCUACAUAUCAAAAUGAAUUGGAGCAUUUUCUCAAUAGAAUUUGACUUUAUGGGCAUAUGAGAAGUAAAAUAUGAAUUUUUUUAAAAAAAACUUAUGGCUAGAUAUUUUUCA
rnacentral:ncRNA from 2 species